rnacentral:rRNA from 1 species
AACGAACGCUGGCGGCAUGCCUAACACAUGCAAGUCGAACGAGACCUUCGGGUCUAGUGGCGCACGGGUGCGUAACGCGUGGGAACCUGCCCUUAGGUUCGGAAUAACUCCCCGAAAGGGGUGCUAAUACCGGAUAAUGUCUUCGGACCAAAGAUUUAUCGCCUUUGGAUGGGCCCGCGUUGGAUUAGCUAGUUGGUAGGGUAAAAGCCUACCAAGGCGACGAUCCAUAGCUGGUCUGAGAGGAUGAUCAGCCACACUGGGACUGAGACACGGCCCAGACUCCUACGGGAGGCAGCAGCGGGGAAUAUUGGACAAUGGGCGAAAGCCUGAUCCGGCAAUGCCGCGUGAGUGAUGAAGGCCUUAGGGUUGUAAAGCUCUUUUACCCGGGAUGAUAAUGACAGUACCGGGAGAAUAAGCUCCGGCUAACUCCGUG